rnacentral:rRNA from 1 species
CGGAGGGUGCGAGCGUUGUCCGGAAUUAUUGGGCGUAAAGCGCGCGCAGGUGGGAUACUAAGUCUGUCUUAAAAGUGCGGGGCUCAACCCCGUGAUGGGAUGGAAACUGGUAUUCUUGAGUGCAGGAGAGGAAAGCGGAAUUCCCAGUGUAGCGGUGAAAUGCGUAGAUAUUGGGAGGAACACCAGUGGCGAAGGCGGCUUUCUGGACUGUGUCUGACACUGAGGCGCGAAAGCCAGGGUAGUGAACGGGAUUAGAUACCCCGGUAAUCCUGGCCGUAAACGAUGGGUACUAGGUGUAGAGGGUAUCGACCCCUUCUGUGCCGGAGUUAACGCAAUAAGUACCCCGCCUGGGGAGUACGGCCGCAAGGUUG